UAUCAUCAGGGUCAAAGUUUCCUCAGUGUAAAGUGACUCAAACUGGAUCUAAUGAAGAGUUUACCUUCAGUCUGCAGCCGUCAGUGAACACAGGACAAAACGCUGGACCAACAACAAAACCUGAAAACAUAAAUUCACUGCCAGUCACAUCUGAUGGUUCUGUUUCACCGUCAGUUCAAGCAACACAUGAAGCCGCUCUCACAAAUGGAGUCUCUCCAACUUCAGCUACAACCAAGACGACGACUGAAAAGAUCUCAAUAAUUCAAG